UUUUUGGAGCCAGGGUCCCCUUACAGUCGAGGAGCCACCACGUGGUUUGCUGCUCUCAGCAUGGUUCCAGCUACGAGCUCACGCCCUCAGCAGGGUGGAGGGUUCAUCCUGCAGAUCAUCCCUGGAGGCGGUGAAGACAUUAUCUCAGUGGAGUAAAAGUGAGAGGUAAAGUGACAGAGGUAGAUUUAAGUGCGCUGCAGAAAACUCCGAAGAAGGCCCUCGGCAUUUUUCCUCCUCUUAAGUUUUCAGGCUGAACUAAUAUGAACAGAAGGGGAGGGCAGGUGAGGGGACGCGGCUCCACGCUGAAGGCCACCCCUGUGUUUGUUGUUGGGGUUGUUGUUGUUGUCCUAAUACUGUGUGUUUACCUGGAGCUGAUGAUGACAUUUCCAUGGUGACUGAUACAGGAUGGAUUUGAUGCUUCUGUGUGAUGUGUAGAAAUAAAUCAAUAAAUGUCUGGAGCUGUUUUACCUUCACUA